rnacentral:rRNA from 1 species
AUGGACUGGGCGGCGCACAAUGCGCACAUACGCGCCCAGCUGGAGCGCGCGCAGCGUCGGUUCAAGAAGAACGCGGACCGCAACCGCACCGAGCGCCACUUCCAAGCAGGGGAGCAAGUGUUGCUCAAGCUCCAGCCCUACGCGCAGCGCUCGGUGGUCAAUCGCCCGUGCGCCAAGCUCGCGUUCAAGUUCUUCGGGCCCUACAAGAUCAUCGAGAAGAUCGGCUCGCUCGCGUACAAGCUCGACCUGCCACCAGAGAGCCAGAUCCACCCCAUCUUCCACGUCUCGCAAUUGAAGCCCUUCACACCGGACUUCACGCCGGUGUACAGUGAGCUGCCCAAGGUGCCCGACCUCUCCACCACCGGUCUCUCUCCCACGCGCGUCCUGGACAGGCGCAUGAUGAAACUGGGGAACGCGCCAGUAGUUCAAAUCAAGGUUCAAUGGGGAGCUGGGGACUCUGCACCAACGACGUGGGAGAACUACGACGCUCUUCGUCAGCGAUUUCCUUCGGCGGAGCUCUGGGAGGAAGAAGACGCUGCCGAUGAUGUUGAAGACGACGAGGGCGAUGCACAGUCUUAA